rnacentral:rRNA from 1 species
AUGCUUUCACAACUUGACUUCAAAAUAUUUGGUUUGGAGACCAUCAAAGAUCAAUAUGUACAUGAUGCUGAUUUUAAAGAUGUAAUGCAGAAUUGUAAAGAAGGAAGAAUGUGGAACAAGUUUGUUGUUAACGAUGGAUUUGUGUUUCGUGCUAACAAGCUAUGCAUUCCAGCUAGCUCCGUUCGUCUUUUGUUGUUGCAGGAGGCGCAUGGAGGAGGAUUAAUGGGACACUUUGGCGUGAAGAAGACGGAGGACAUACUUGCUACACAUUUCUUUUGGCCAAAGAUGAGACGGGAUGUUGAGCGUUUUAUUGCUCGCUGCACUACAUGUCAAAAAGCUAAGUCACGACUCAAUCCUCAUGGUUUAUAUAUGCCUUUGGCUGUACCUAGUGUUCCUUGGGAGGAUAUGUCUAUGGACUUUGUUUUAGGUUUACCUCGAACAAAGAAGGGGAGGGAUAGCAUAUUUGUUGUCGUGGAUAGAUUCUCGAAAAUGGCACACUUUAUACCAUGUCAUAAAAGCGAUGAUGCUGUUAAUGUUGCUGAUUUGUUCUUUCGUGAAAUUAUUCGCUUGCAUGGUGUGCCAAAUACUAUUGUUUCAGAUCGUGAUACUAAAUUUCUUAGCCACUUUUGGAGAUGUUUAUGGGCUAAGUUGGGGACUAAACUGCUUUUUAGUACUACUUGUCACCCCCAAACUGAUGGACAAACUGAAGUAGUCAAUAGAACGUUGUCUACUAUGCUUAGGGUUGUUUUGAAGAAUAAUAAGAAAAUGUGGGAGGAAUGCUUGCCUCAUAUUGAAUUUGCUUAUAAUCGUUCAUUGCAUUCUACUACUAAGAUGUGCCCUUUUGAAGUUGUGUAUGGUUUCCUACCUUGUGCACCUAUUGAUUUGUUGCCUCUUCCAUCUUCGGAGAAGGUUAAUUUUGAUGCUAAACAACGUGCUGAAUUGAUUUUAAAAAUGCAUGAGUUAACUAAGGAAAACAUUGAGCGUAUGAAUGCUAAAUAUAAACUUGCUGGAGAUAAGGGUAGAAAACAUGUUGUGUUUGCACCUGGAGAUCUUGUUUGGUUACAUUUGCGUAAGGAUAGAUUUCCUGAUUUGCGCAAAUCAAAGCUAAUGCCACGUGCUGAUGGUCCCUUUAAGGUGUUAGAGAAAAUAAAUGAUAAUGCAUAUAAACUUGAGUUGCCUGCAGAUUUUGGGGUUAGUCCCACUUUUAACAUUGCAGAUUUGAAGCCUUAUUUGGGUGAGGAAGAUGAACUUCCGUCGAGGACGACUUCAUUUCAAGAAGGGGAGGAUGAUGAGGACAUCAAUACAAUUGUUACACCCACAGCCCCUGCUGCUAUACAUACUGGACCAAUUACUAGAGCCCGUGCACGCCAACUAAAUUACCAGGUACUUUCGUUUCUUGGUAAUGAUUCUAAUGUUCAUGAGAAUAUGAUGCUGCCUAAAUUGGAUACAUUUGUUUUGCUUACAAAUGAAGGGCCUAGCUUGGAGAAGGAUGAACAUUGGAGCAAGAACAAGCAUGGAGAUGAUCGCAUGCGCAAGGGGAACAAGAACGGAGUUACAAGUGAUGAUUUCAGGACUUUGAAGCCACCAUAA